AUUAGAGUUUGAUCAUGGCUCAGGAUGAACGCUAGCGACAGGCCUAACACAUGCAAGUCGAGGGGCAUCGGGACGUAGCAAUACGUUGCCGGCGACCGGCGGAUGGGUGAGUAACGCGUAUGCAACCUACCCGUAGCAGGGGGAUAGCCCGUUGAAAGACGGAUUAAUACCCCGUAACACAGGGGCUCCGCAUGGAGAUUAUUGUUAAAGGGUCAUUUCUUUUAGAGGUGGUCCGGCUGCGGAUGGGCAUGCGUUCCAUUAGGUAGUUGGUGUAGGUAACAGCUCACCAAGCCGACGAUGGAUAGGGGAACUGAGAGGUUGGUCCCCCACACUGGUACUGAGACACGGACCAGACUCCUACGGGAGGCAGCAGUGAGGAAUCUUGGUCAAUGGACGCAAGUCUGAACCAGCCAUGUCGCGUGAAGGAGGACGGCCCUAAGGGUUGUAAACUUCUUUUGCAGUGGAAUAAAGUUUGCCACGAGUUGGCGAUUUGCAAGUACGCUGCGAAUAAGGAUCGGCUAACUCCGUGCCAGCAGCCGCGGUAAUAAU
rnacentral:rRNA from 1 species